rnacentral:lncRNA from 1 species
CAAAUAAUCCAAUCUGCUAAUCUCUGAUACUGCUUUAUACUCACGACCUUGUAUCCACUGACUGUCUUCUUAGAUUAACCCAAAAAUUUUCAUUCACUCCGCAUACUCAAUCCUAUAGAUACCUUUUUAAUUCUUCAAUCACAGACAUAACUUUGAUUUCACAAAACAGUCAAGAGUAAUCACACCCUCUUCAUUAAAAAUCUCGAUUCACCAUUACAACAAUGACUUCAGUAACGAGUGCCUCAGUCUUUCCAAAACCCUAUGAAAAAAAAAUCCCAUUCCUCUGUCUUUUUUGCCUGCCUCAAAGCAUGAAGCUAGCUCUCCGAUCCUUCUAAAAAGCCUUCUUCUCUCCCCUUCAUUUCUUAACCUAUCCUCCCCUUUAACCCUAAUUCUCUCCUCUUUCAAACCCUAGUCAAUGAAUUUCCUCAAUCUUCCAUCUUGGAUCCAAAAUUGGCUCCCGCCAUCAGAGCUUUCUCCUCCAUUUUUAUCUUUAAGAGAUCCUUUUACCGAAAGGAUGUUCCCG